rnacentral:rRNA from 1 species
AUUGAACGCUGGCGGCAUGCUUUACACAUGCAAGUCGAACGGCAGCGCGGGCUUCGGCCUGGCGGCGAGUGGCGAACGGGUGAGUAAUGCAUCGGAACGUGCCCAGUAGUGGGGGAUAGCCCGGCGAAAGCCGGAUUAAUACCGCAUACGACCUGAGGGUGAAAGCGGGGGACCGAAAGGCCUCGUGCUAUUGGAGCGGCCGAUGUCGGAUUAGCUAGUUGGUGGGGUAAAGGCUUACCAAGGCGACGAUCCGUAGCUGGUCUGAGAGGACGACCAGCCACACUGGGACUGAGGCACGGCCCAGACUCCUACGGGAGGCAGCAGUGGGGAAUUUUGGACAAUGGGGGCAACCCUGAUCCAGCCAUGCCGCGUGCGGGAAGAAGGCCUUCGGGUUGUAAACCGCUUUUGUUCGGGAAGAAAUCCUCUGGGCUAAUACCCCGGGGGGAUGACGGUACCGGAAGAAUAAGCACCGGCUAACUACGUG